AUUGAACGCUGGCGGCAGGCCUAACACAUGCAAGUCGAACGAGUGGCGGACGGGUGAGUAAUGUCUGGGAAACUGCCCGAUGGAGGGGGGUAACUACUGGAAACGGUAGCUAAUACCGCAUACCAUCGGAUGUUCUCAGUUGGGAUUAGCUAGUAGGUGGGUUAACGGCUCACCAAGGCGACGAUCCCUAGCUGGUCUAAGAGGAUGACCAGGCACACUGGAACAGAGACACGGUCCAGACUCCUACGGGAGGGAGCAGUGGGGAAUAUUGCACAAUGGACGCAAGCCAGAUGCAGCCAUACAGCGUGUAUGAAGAAGGCCUUCGGGUUGUAAAGUACGUUCAGCGAGGAGGCGUUACUCGAAGAAGAAGCACCGGCUAACUCCGUACCAGCAGCCGCGGUAAUAC
rnacentral:rRNA from 1 species